rnacentral:lncRNA from 1 species
GUUGAACUGUUGACUAUGAAACGUUCCAUCACAGAUUUUUUUCCCCGCUAAGCGACACAAAGGUGUGGAUUUUUAUGAUACAACAAUUUAUAACGUUUGCAUGCAUAAUUUUUCAAUUUGUUCUGUUGUGUUUUAUUAAUAGUUGCGAAUGAAUCGAUGACAUAAUUGUCAAUUUGGUUCAAAUGCACUACGCUGGAUCGAAGAUUUGACAGCUAGUCAAUAUUCCCCGAUCAGGAGACAGCCUCCAGAUCUAGAGAUGUCUCUAAAUU